AUGCCAAAAGGAAAUAUGGUGUACACUUUUAACAUUGGCUCAAUAUUUAACCAAUAUUGGCCCAAUGUUUGCAUAAAUAUCAAAACAAUAAUGUUUAAAUAUUGGCUUAAUAUUUCUGUCUUAUCCGGGAUUCUUUCAAUAAAAUGUUCUCGUCAGAAGCUUUUGAGCCCGUUUUCUCAGAACUUCAUUUUUGCACUUACGGCUCUCUUAGCUAUCACGGCAGACUUGUAUUUCUAUCUAAUCGUAAGAGACAAAAGCUCAUACAACUCUUCAAUCGUGUGUGCUUGUCGUAAGUUCAUCGUUAACCAUUUUCCCCCUCUUCUUCUUUUUCUCCUUUCAAAAAUCUGCCUCUAAUUGCAGCAAUGCACACCUUCUUGAAAGUUUGCGCUAAUGGAAACUUACCAACAUUCAGUUUCUGUUCCCACGAUCGUUUAAAUUAGAUUCUUUCAUUUAACGGCAGAUAUUCCAUCUAUUUCGUACUUGUUCUACUGAAUUCAGUUUAUGGUCGUGCUUAUGUGGGGCUAAAGCUGAAAGUCUGUAAUAAAAUUAAUUAACUAAGUAACUAACUUCGAAAAAUCUAUUCGCCGAUGUCCUUUAAUUUGUUUAUUUUACGCCAAACCAAUACCAAAGUGACGAACACUAGUGGUCGGUUAGAAAAUGAUGUGAUUCCCAUAACCUACGUCUUCGUGUAGCCACAGCCUUUCCACUUUUUGUUACGCAGGCGCUUGUUGGCCUUAUAUCAAUAUGUAUAAUCUUUAAGAUUUCUAAUAUUUCUGAAAAAGCAAUGUGUUCAUUGGACCCGUUUGGUCCUGCAGUACCUGAUUUAACGUCGGUGUAUCCUUAGAUUCUGGUAUGAUCUUAAUAAUCAAAUUUGUAGCUCCACUUAUUUUUACAUAUUUUUGAUAUUCCAUAUUUUAUUUUUGAUACCUCAUAUAUGCUUAUUCACCAUUAGUACAAAAAGUAUUCUUUCUGAAGCACUUAUAAUCAAAUGGACCACAUUUUGCAAUGAGGAACUACAAGUUCUGGGUCAGUUUAGAAACAACGUAUUUAUCAUUAGUUUCCGUUUCUACAUAAGUUUUUUUUUUACAAAUGAGCCGGAAAUUGCAGUUCCUAAUUGCAGAAUGAGGUCCAAAUUUUUUAUUGUUACCAAGCUAGUAUAUUUAAUGUAUUGAAGAGCUCGUUGAAAUAUCUCAAAAUGCCGCUCUGUAACACAAGUGAAUUAUCUACAACUGAAUUCACUUUUUGGGGGGCACUUCGGACUAGAGAGUUAAGAGAAAUGUUCAUGAUUUCGAGAAAAUGCUUUUACAUUCGUCGAACUAAAUGGACACUUAUUUGACACAAAAGAUACCUUUAAAGUUGAAUAUUGAUGUAAAGAAAUUAAAACUAACUAAGUGCUUAUUUUCCCUCAAUUUAUAUUCUAACACGAGUUUUACUAGAAAUCAUUAUCUCAAUAUGUUCCCAUUUUUAUGCCUCUUACCACUUUUAUCCCCGGGACUUGGCAAUACCCAGUUAUUAUUGCAUAAUUCCGUCCACUUUAGCUAUAGGUAGAUACGUAUGUUAAAACCGUGGGAUAAAAUACGGUAUCGUAUAAAAAUAAGAAGGUAGACACAGAAGGCUCUUCAGAGUCUGAGUGCUAUUUUUCGAAAAACGACUUCUUAAAUUCCUCAUAUCCUGGAUAAUUUUUUGAAAAUUGAUCAAGGUACGCUAAUUUUAGUGGAGGCAAAUUGAUCAUUUUUGGAGCCCAUCCAGCAUACUCCUUUUACCGAAAAGUUCCUUGAAGUACUUGAAAUUUUUCUGCUCCCGCCUAUAAAAGUCUAGACGUUCUUAAUUUUAAUAUUAUUCCCUCCUUCGCGUACAAUACAUAAACAAAUGUUGGAAAAUCUUCAAUAAAUUCUUUUAUAUAAUUAAUAUAAUUUUAAAGUUCGUUAUGCGUUUUCUUCUUUCUCGAAAUAACGUUGAAAAAUAGGCAUCUUCAAAUUAAGUAGUUGUUCAAUGCAAGGAAAUCCUUAGCCUAGUUUUCCUGUUUCUUUCAAUUUUAAUACACUUUCUUAAAGCAGCGAAUUAUAAUCGUAGAAGCUAAAAUUUUACGACGAGUACAGUAACUUUUUUCUGGUUACAUAUCUAUAUCUGCAAUAAUUUACGGAGAUAAAAAAAAAAAAAUUAAUAUGCUUAUAUUCUCUUAUAAGGCGAUUUUUAAGGCAAGGAUCAUUGUGUAGUGUGUACCUACCUCCUCAAAUGUGCUCUUAAUUUGUUUUAGUUUAGGAUCAUCUGGAAAAUCCAAACAAUGCACGCUCAAUGUAUUUUUACGUUUACCUCUCAUUUCCUUUCACACCAAAUAUAUUGAUUUUAUCCUUAGGUUACAUAUUUGUAUACAUUUUUAUUGCAUAUUGUUCAGUUUAUGAAGUGUUCAACGUAUUUUAGUAUUAAGAUUUUUAUAUUUUAUUAAACAUCUCGUAAACGUAGGGGAGCUUCGGCUUCCAUCCCUCAAUAAAACCGCAAUUUUGUAGUGGACGAAAGUUUCGACAGGAAAACGUAGCUAGGAACUACUUGAGUCGUUUGGCAAAACUGCAUGAAACGUUCAACAAGUUUUGUUUAGUUUUGGCGAGACUUUUGUAAGUGGUGAAGGGCCAUUUCACUCGAUCUACCAGCCGAAUGACUCGCAUCAUGUUCCGUAUGAGAACAGGAUAUUACUAUUUUUUAAAGUGAAAUUAUUAAGUUAGGUUGAAGGAUAGAAAGUCAUUCCUAACAACAGUAUAGGAGCCAUUACACCGUUGGCCCUGCAAAUGUUAAGUUGUUUCCCAACGGACUGGUAUUAUAAUUGGCCCUUCGGAACAAGUUGAAAUUAUAUUGUCAGUUCAUUUUGCCUUAUUGUCUUUAUACCAUCUGCUUGAAAAUCGAGCAUGAUAGCGCACCUAGUGCAUCGUCAAUCCACCAAACGCCACGCAAAAUCACAGAUCAGUACCUUUAACUGACUAGCACCUCCUUACUACAGUGGCGAUUUUGCAAAUUGGCAACACCGUUAUUCCUCCGUUUGAAUCUAUGAAAUAUCGGUGUUAGGUGAGGCUAGUUGCCUCACCGAGGAUUAAUUGUUUUCCGUACAUUUAAGGGGGGGGGGGGAAACAGUAUUGCCAACUUUCAAAAAUUGCCACUGCACCUCCUGUAAUGAGCCUAGAUACCACAUAAACCUUUGCAUACUCGACCAAUAUGCAUAAAUACAUAUUAUAUAUGGUGCUUGGAUUAAACUAUUAUGUCCGGAUACUAAUCGGAACUUUAUUUAAGUUAGUUUUAGUGACAUUUUAAUACUGAGAUAUUUUAUAAGUAUAUGUAUUCGAAGGAAAAGUAUAUACAAAGUAAAACAAAGUUCAAUGUGUUAUGAAUUCCAGUCAUAAACAGCAAAAAAAUUAGAUUAUCCCACGCGGGCCUCCAAUAAUUAUUCUUUUGCUCGAAGCGUGAUUUGCCGUUUGGACGACUGGACGUAGGUACUUACGCAAAAUAAGUCUAUGUGCAAUGAGCUCCCAAUGUGAGUAGACCUUUUUUGAGACUUGUUUGGUAAUUAAUCCUAUUAAUACGGUCGUGCUGAGCCAAAAUGCAUUAUGAACAUGUGGAUGUUACCGAAUUUCCCCUAACAUUCAUUUCUAAGGAAUUUUAUGAAUAUUUCUCCUUGAAAUUAUCAGAUACUGGAGAUUAAAUGGUCAAUUGAAUUCUCUGAAGAAUGUAGAGAAAAAUAUCCAUAUAUUUCCUGGAAAAGCCGUAUUUUAUCAAAAGAAAUUUGGCAACGUCUCAAAAAGAUCAUACGACGUUCCUCCUUAGCACGGCAGAAUUUCGCUAGCUCACAUCGUCCAAGGAAAAAAUUACAGCUGAAAUAUUUUAUUUUUAUUUUUUUUUAUAUUCAAAGGUUUUAUUGGUCUUCUAGCUGUAAUAUGAUGUGCCUGGUUAUAUGAAUAACGCCAAAAGUUCCGUCCAUUUUAAGCUGUUCGAUAAACAAUGAUUUUGUCUCGUUCUGAAUACAUCUGUCUUAUAUUGUACAUUAACUUAAUCACCGUCGCGACUUCUGUUGCAAUGCAAUAGCACGCGAUUGGAACUCUAUUGUUACCUAUAAUACAUAUACUCUGCUCUCUAUAGACAUAAGAAACAAAGGUAUUAUUUUCCUUAAUUUAUUCAUCACUUGUUAUGAAAUACAUUUAUUAUAUUGAAUUUUUUAGCAUAUUUUUACCUACUUCCUCCUCCAAAAUAAAUUGAUUUUGUUUUGGUCA
rnacentral:lncRNA from 1 species